rfam:Salmo salar isolate Sally breed double haploid chromosome ssa01, whole genome shotgun sequence.
UAUAUUCACUACUGUAAGUCGCUCUGGAUAAGAGCGUCUGCUAAUUUACAAAUA